rnacentral:rRNA from 1 species
CUGCGUUUAAAUGCAAACUGCGCCUAGACGCAAUCUGCAUUUAGACGCAAACUGCAUGUAGACGCAAACAGCGUAAACUACACUUAGAUACAAACUGUGAAUCGGCUUUUACAUCGAAAUCAUUUUUAUCGGACGAACGCAGCUUUCGGAUUUAAUCGCUGAAAGAUUUCCGCUGCACUAAUUCACCCCCCCCCCUCUUAGUGCUCUCGAUCCUAACAGUUAAAAAGAUCGUAGUUGGACUUUGGGACGGGUCGGUCGGUCCGCCUCGCGGUGUGCACCGGUCGUCCCAUCCCUUCUGUCGGCGAUGCGUGCCUGGCCUUAGCUGGCCGGGUCGUGCCUCCGGCGCUGUUACUUUGAAGAAAUUAGAGUGCUCAAAGCAAGCCCACGCUCUGGAUACAUUAGCAUGGGAUAACAUCACAGGAUUUCGGUCCUAUUGUGUUGGCCUUCGGGAUCGGAGUAAUGAUUAAGAGGGACAGUCGGGGGCAUUCGUAUUUCAUAGUCAGAGGUGAAAUUCUUGGAUUUAUGAAAGACGAACCACUGCGAAAGCAUUUGCCAAGGAUGUUUUCAUUAAUCAAGAACGAAAGUUGGGGGCUCGAAGACGAUCAGAUACCGUCCUAGUCUCAACCAUAAACGAUGCCGACCCGGGGAUCGGCGGAUGUUGUCUUAGGACUCCACCGGCACCUUAUGAGAAAUCAAUGUCUUUGGGUUCCGGGGAGUAUGGUCGCAAAGGCUGAAACUUAAAGGAAUUGACGGAAGGGCACCACCGAGUGGAGCCUGCGGCAUAAUUUGACUCAACACGGAAAACUUACCAGUCCGGACAUAGCAAGGAUUGACGGACCGAGAGCUCUUUCUUGAUUCUAUGGGUGGUGGUGCAUGGCGUUCUUAGUUGGUGGAGUGAUUUGUCCGGUUAAUUCCGAUAACGAACGAGACCUCGACCGCUAACUAGCUUCUGCGGAGGCAUCCCUCCGUGGCCAGCUUCUUAGAGGGACUAUGGCCGUUUAGGCCACGGAAGUUUGAGGCAAUAACAGGUCUGUGAUGCCCUUAGAUGUUCUGGGCGCCGACGCUUCACUGAUGUAUUCAACGAGUCUAUAGCCUUGGCCGACAGGGCCCGGUAAUCUUUGAAAAUUUCAUCGUGAUGGGGAUAGAUCAUUGCAAUUGUUGGUCUUCAACGAGGAAUUCCUAGUAAGCGCGAGUCAUCAGCUCGCGUUGACUACGUCCCUGCCCGUUGUACACACCGCCCGUCGCUCCUGCCGAUUGAAUGGUCCGGUGAAGUGUUCGGAUCGAGGCGACGGGGGCGGUUCGCCGCCCGCGACGUCGUGAGAAGUCCACUGAACCUUAUCAUUUAGAGGAAGGAGAAGUCGUAACAAGGUUUCCGUAUGUGAACCUGCGGAAG